ensembl:lncRNA
UGCUUGUGUGAAGGUGGAGAUCAUGGUGUUUAUUCAAAGCAUUUUACUUUGUAAAAUAGAAUGAGUUCAAGCCCAAGAACAUCAAGAAGAAGAAGAUGAGUAUUAUCAUGUCUGUGGACGAAAACAGAAGAAAUAGAAUCAUGUUCUAGUUCUCUGGUUCCGUCAUUCAGCCACAAGACAGAAAGUUGCCUGAAGGCUGUGGAUCAUUGUAUUGUUGACCCAGACGGAGUGUACUUCACAAGGAUUGUCUUUUUCUGAGAAAGCUAACCAUGGAUAACUCUCCUGAAGGUAAGCACUGACUGGACUGAUGUAAAGGUUGAAAAAUGCUGGCAACUUUCCCAAAACUACCAAUGGAGCAAGAUUUGACUUCAUUUCUACAGUCCAAUAGUCAUGGUGUGCUGAAUGUGCCAUUGCUGAACCAAGGCGGUGUCCUCUAAUCUUCCUCGCGUUCUUUGUUUUAGUGAACCAGGAGCAGGGAGACAUACCAAUAAUCCCAUUGGUCCAUGAGCCCAUGUCAGGCUCCUUGAUGACAACAUGCCUAUGGCACCUGAAGCGGAGGGGAUCCAACUGAAGAACGUCACCCCUGCACAGUGGGACAGAAUCCUCCCGAUAGGAAUCAUCCAGAGGGAGGAUCCCAACCAGAACCAAUCAUUCCAACAAUACGUCAUCCCAAUCAAAAACAAUGGAAUGGAACAGAUGGAAUAUCAUGGACCACCUCCACCUCCCAUCAUCCCCAUGGUGGGAUCCUGGGACACUGGAGUGAAUGCUCCACGUUGUGGAGAUUUCUAUGCCAGGAGAAAAGAUAUCCGGAGUAGAUAUGUGGCGGAUCCUGCUUUAAUGACCAUCACCAAGCCAGAACACUUCGAGGCCAACCCUCAGAGCCAGGCUGGCAGUUGGCCGGUGGCUAAACCUCAGCACCCAGCACCCCCAGUACAGAAAACACGAAACAGUGGAGGCUGGCUCAGGUGGUUCUUCGGAGAAAAGGAAGAAGUUCUUCAGAUGACAAGGAUACCAGAUGACAAGCCUAAUUCUAUUGUCUGGGAUCAAAACCUGCACAGAUGGGUUGACGCAAGUCCCAUGCCCAAGACUGAGAACAAGCCUGUUCCACCUCCUCCCCCGAUGGGGAUGUAUCUGGAGAACUCUAGUCUCCCCAAAGGAGUGAAUCCUUACUCCAUGAAAGCAGCAGAUCAAGGAAGCCUAGGGGACAGGUAUCCCAAGCUAUUGUACCAUGGUGGGAUCACUACAACACCUCCAUACCAGGGUCCUGGAUCGCUCCCUGCCCAGCAUGCAACACUCAUGGCACCGAUGACUGUGCCAUUCGAUGUUGACAGGCAGAAACUUGGCCCAGGCACUCUACCCUUUUGAGAAUCGACACUGAACAAUCCUUCUGCAACGAUUUAUUUAAUUAGCUUUAAUAUACAGCAACACUUGGCUGAAGUUUCAGUGAUUUUUAAGCUAUUUAUUUUUGUCUCACAGGUCGUUUUCCAGGAGGGAUCAUUUGAUAUUUCAGCAUUUUAAAAGACAAAAUAAAAUAAGAUUUCGGGCUUUGAAAAGUUAUUAAAAAUCUGUAUGUUCACGUAGCUUUGAUAUGUUUUCUGGCAUCCUUUACAAGCCCAUCGCUUGUGCACAUUUCUCUAUGUUACAUACUUUACAGAUGGGUAUAUUAUUUAUACAUAUGUUUUUCAAAAUAUAUUCAAAAAAGAAUUAAUCUAUUUCAUAAACAUAAUAUCAAAUGUAAAUAAAGUGCAUUUUAAAUUGUACACCAUAUAUUUCAAUAUAUGACUUUACUGCAGGCCUAGCGUUGUGGGUGGGCCUUAGGGAGCCAUGCUCGCCC